GGUUGCCGGUGGCGCUAACCUCACUGAAGAUGGCGUGUUGCUGCCGUCAGAGUCGAACCCCCAACCACCAGAAGACAUGGAUGAUGCACCAGAAGAGGAGAACCGUGCACCUGUGGAAGUGGACCCUCAACCUAGCACCUCCAGUGAUGCACCCCACAUCCCAGGCAUGAACACUCAAGCGUGUCCUGAGAUACCAACUACAGCUCCAGCAAUUGCA